GCCUGGAGAAACCCACUUCCGGCCGCGGCUCGGGCGAGGGUGGUUCUGCGAGGGUCUCUGUACUGAGUGAUACGGGACCCUCGUGCAGUUAGCCCCAAAUCCUAGAAAUUAAUUUCGAAGAAUAAAGAUUGCAGAACCAUCCUAUUAUCUGUAAAAGGAACCAGUUCCUUUCAUAUUUAAAUGAGUGAUAGAAGACUAUCUUGGUCAACGUCCCGCCCCAGCUCCCUGCUCCUUAAAAGCAGCAGGUCCCAAGUUCCCAGGCAUCUCUCCCUGUCUCCCUCUGCGUCACCUCCAGGCCAGCAGUGAAGAUGUGCCAGAGAACAUGCAACUCAGCACCGUAGUAAGGUUGAGAGUGAGAAAGAGAAGGAAGGGGAGAAGAAGAAAACGGAGGAGGACAGGACGGUCCCUGAGCGUGGACUCAGAAUCCUCGGGAGCAAAAAGCAAGUGUCACUGGAUAGGUUUCUUGAAAGUUGCAAGACAAGAAAAAGCUCCCACUGAGCCGAGAGAGCAGUGACUGUGUCAUGAAAGUCGCUCUACACAAUAACCCUCUUCUCUUACCUCCCUCACGCCAGCCACAGGGUUUUCAAAGAUAAGUGCAGCCACAGAUUCGAAAGCCAUUUCUGCUGUGAACCAGGGCUGAUGCCCAGUAGGUAAGUAAAAGCGGAAAGAAGUUUGACUUUCACUUUGUAUCCGCCAUUACUGUAAAUCAUGGGUCAAAUCUCUUUCAGCUCUCUAUAUGGAUAUGUUAAUCAUUUAGGGCUGGCCAUCUUUUUACGGCUGAGCAGUAUUCCAAAACCAGGCACAGUGGUGCACCCCUAUAAUCUCAGCACUCCGGAGACUGAGAAAGGAGGAUCAUUAUGAGUUUAAGGCCAGCCUGGACCACGCAGUGACAGCCUGUCUCAAAAAUCAAAACAAUAGAAUUCCAUUGUGUCUAGGUACCACAUUGUCUCUACCAUUCAGGCAUGGUGGAAAUUUUGGUUGACUUCCUAUCUUGGCCGUUUUGAAUAGUGCUGUAGUAAAGAUGGGAAUGUAGAUGUCUUUUGGACAUAUUGAUUUUAAUUUCUUUAGCUAAAUCACCAGUAGUAGGAUUGUUGGAUCACACACUAGUGCUAGUUUUUUACUGUUUCCAUGGCUAUACUAAUUUCAACACCCCCCUACACAGCGUUUUUUUCUUUACAGCCUCUCAACUGCUUAUCUUUUACCCUAUUCAUAACAGCCAUUAUAACAGGUGUGGCAUUAUCUCACUGUGGUAUUAAUUUGUAUUUCUCUAGUGAUUAGUGAUGUUGAGCAUUUAUUUAUAUACCUGUUAGCCAUUUGUGUCGUUUGAGAAAUGUCCAUUUGGAGGUUUUGCCCAUUUAUAUCAGAUUUUUUUGUUUGUUUUUCUUACUAUUAAGUUCUUUGUAUAUUUUGGAUAUUGAUCCCUUAUCAGAUACCUACUUUUCUCCUACUUCAUAGUGUCCCUUCACUCUACUGAUGCCUUUCCUUUUUGGUUUGAUGUAAUUCCAUCUAUAAGGUGAUAAAUAAUAGUGAAUUUUUAAAAAGCUUCUUAUAGUAAAGGAAACUGCCAUUAAUCCCCCUCAAAAUACUCUUCCUCAGUUUGAACACUUGUUGUUGUCAAAUGUUUUUUCAUCUAUGAAUAUGAUGAGUGAUUUUUUGGACUGUUAUUUAUUAUUUUAAAACUCAAAUGUAGAAUCAGCCCAGCAUAUCUGGGAGAAAUCCUCCUUAGUUGUGGUAUAUAACUUUUUAUACAGUGUUAAAUUCUAUCUGCCAAUGUUUUAUUAAGGCUUUUGUGUUUAUGUUCACGACAAACAUCGAUCUGUUGCUACUUUUUAAUGUCUUGUCUGGUUUUGGUGUUGGGAUAAUGCUGGCCUCACAGAAUGGUAGGAAGUAUUCUCUGCUUCUACCUUCUGGAAUAGAGUGUAGAAAAUUCAUAAAAUUAUUUUCUUAAAUGUUUGAAUUCACCAGCAAACCCAUCAGGUCUUUUUUUUUUUCUUUCCUGGAAGGUAACUGACUCAAUUUCCUUAAUAAAUACAGUCCUAUUAAGAUUAUUUCUCCUUUUGUGAGUUUUGGUGUAUUUUAUUUUCAGAGUACUGAUCCAUCCAUCCAAGUCAUGGCAUCUGUGGGCAAAGUUGCUAACAUUCCUUCACCACCUCUCAAUGCCCCUGGGAUAAGUAGUAAUGGCCCCCUCUCACUUCCAACACAGCUGCUUUUUAGUAUUAUAGGUGUGUUUGUAGACUCCAAGAGCUUUCUAGAUGUUGCGAAGGUCUUUGGUUAGUCUCCCCAGUUCAUCUCCACACCCUGACUUUCUGUUCUACUGGCCCUCUGAAUUAACUUUGAUGCUCAUGUGUUAAGGGGGGAAAAAAGAGGCCAGGAAGCCCACUGAAAAGAUAGCGUAACAAAUUACACAAGUCCUGCCUGAGGUUUCUAACAGUUAUUUAGAUGUUCUAGAGACUGUCUGGGAGAAGGGAAUGCUAGACAUUAUUGGCUGAGUAUAAACUGUCUUCACAGUAGAAGAAAAGUGGCUUUUGGGUUGUAUGCCUAAUUUCAAAAUUGCAUUGUGCAAUACAAGUCAGCAUUCUAGAAAAACACGGGGAAAGGGCACUUUGUGCCGAGAAAGCCCAGACAAGUCAGGAUAUAAACAAAACGUGAGAGAAUUUGUGGCUUACGGUUUUAGUGAAGAUGGAAAGCUAUAUGGAUCGAUUUUUUUGACAAAAAA